CCACCAUCUACUGACGGUUUGGCGAGAGCUCAGACUACAGUAAGGAGUUCAAUAAGAAGUUCUAAAAGACGUGGCUCCAUACACCUUUCUGCUGGGUGCGGCAGACCUGGGAGUGCACCCGCAGCUCAUCAGCAAUCACCACUGCGGCCUGGCCAGCAAGCAGGUGCCGGAUGAUUCAAGCGGUACUUCGUGUGACAUCGCGGAUGUCCGUCUUCAGGGUGCGUGGGCGUCACACGUCGACCAUCCGGUCUGCACGGUCCGCCCCGGAACAGUGCGUAACCUAUCGUUUGGACUGUCAGAUUGAUGAUCCCGGCCGCAUCGGACGCUCAGCGGUGACGUAAAUCUGGCAAACUGACGACGGAUCUGGCGCAACGUCACCUGCUAUGGGGGUAAUGGCAAUAUUCUGGCUGGUGUUUCCCCCAUUGUGUUCAUUAUCCCUUUGAAAUGAAAUAAAUGGAAUUCACUUCCACAACCACUAAUAUUGGGAGCACUAAGCAGGCGUCUGCUAUUUCCCGAUUCAGUUAUAUUUCGCUCGUUGCGCCGGCUCCCUUUGAUUUCCUAAUUUCCCGGCCUCUGCCCCCCAACAAUAACCUCCAGCUCCCGUUGUGUUGGGCGUGGACUCAUUGAA